rnacentral:lncRNA from 1 species
CAUUGCGUCUCGAAGCUGCCGGAACUCUGGCGGGGAGGGGAAGGAAAGAGAAAUAGAGGAGAGGAAGUUCUGGGAGCCCAGAUGCUCAGACUUUCCCACCGCAGUGCCCCUAGUGGCAGAGGAGAAGAAUGCAGGUGGCUGGACUCUAAAGCUGGGGCCUCUGGGACCGAGAGACAAGCAAGAAGCAACAAGAAUCCAGGGGAUGGAGGAAUGCAGUGCUUCCACCCCAGAAGCUUCAGGAACACCUGCUGCCCAGGGCAAGGCUUACUUGUGUGUUCCUGUUUCUCCUCCUCACGUGCCUUUUCUACCCUUGGAGAGGCGCUGAAAGGAGACUCCUAGCAGGUGGCAAGAAGGUGGAGGAUAAGAAAGAAGACCGGCCGCAGGCAGUCAGGAUGCCACGGUGUGAAGCCAGAGGUCAAAGCACUUUGAGGGCAGCGCUUCUGUUCCAC